CUAGUUUUAUUGGUGAACCGGUGUUGUAUUUAAUCGUGCUACAUGAUACUUCAACUACAGAAAAAUGAGCCUCUCACAUCCCGAUAACGAUGCAUUCAGAAAUAAAGAUGUUCCGAAUACACAUGAAAAACCAGGACAAUCAAGAAUAACUGUGAAUCCUGGACUACAUGAACAUUAUAAGGAACAGAAAAGAACCUGGCAGUCUGGAUUAAAGAGCAGGAUGUUGUCUUUUUCAACUGUGAUGAUACACGACGGAAAACAUUAAGCUAAAAUUACCAGUUAAUUUACAGCAUUUUGAGAUUUAUUGAAAAAAGUAGAUAUUGACCAAAAAGAUUAAGUUGCUUCUUUCCUUUGACUGCCUUCCUCAAGACUGUUGGAAAAGUAGGCCUAUAUCCAUUGUCUUUAAUUGAAAUGACUUGCAGAGUAAAGGACUGAUUUUCAAGAAAAACCUUAUCUUUUGCAGUGAUUCUGCUUAACUUCGGAAUUUAUGGUGUGGGGAAUGAGUUGUUACAGACCAUGUCAACCUUCAUCUAUGAAAAGGUACCCCAACAUAGAGUCGAGUUAACAUGUCUUAUAUACUAGUGAAUUGUAGUUGUAAUUUUGUAGUGGUAGAU